UGCAGUGGCUAAGGGGAUUAGAAGAAGGUUGAGCGCCUCCAGCCUGCCCCUGGCGGCCGACGAUGGGCAAGCAGGCAGGAGGCGCGCCGGCGUGAUUCCGACCGCGGGAGCCGGGAGGAGGAGCCGGAGGUGGCUGCGGGGGGCUCCGGCCCAGGCGUAGGAAGGGCAACAGGAGGUUCGGGCCGGGGGCGGUGCCAGGAGGUGUCCCGAGGCUACUGAUACUUCUGGAACUCUGGCCCUCACAGCUCCUAGACAGCAAUCACACAGCUACCACAAGCAACAUGCUUCUUAGACCAGAUCUCACACAACCCAAGCUGAUUUGGAACUCAUUAUAUAGCCCAGAUGACCUUGGUCUUCCUACCCAUGCUGGUCAGUUUUUGUCAACUUGACACAAACCAGAGUCACCUUGGGAAGAAGGAACCUCAGCUGAAGAAUUGCCUCCAUCAGAUUGGCCUGUGGGCAUGUCGCUGGAUUGUAGGAGAAAGCAGGUUGAGUACGCCAUGGAGAGCAAGCCAAUGCUGUGGUGGCGGCACACCUGUCAGCAGCUCCAGGAUGACACUCUCACACCUUCAAGCCCGGGUGAAUGAAGAGCAUGCCUUCCUGGCUCUCUAAGUAUCUCACAGUCAGACCACAGGGUUUGGUCCAAACCAGCCACUAUGCAGCUCUGCAUGGUCCAUAAGACAUCCUGGAGUCCUGAUUGAACAUAAUGCACUCUGCUCCAUCCAGAAGGCUAUGCACAAGGCAGAUUUGGAUGAUCUGAUCUUUUGGACGAUGAAUGAGAUGCUACACAGCUCUGUAUGUGGGUAAGGCUCUCUGCAUCUCGGCACUGUACACAGGGCCCUCUGCCGCUCAGCACGACAGGUAAGAUGCUCUAUAGCUCUCCUGGGUGAGGCAUGGCUCAUGUGUGACUCUCAUGCCAGGGAGUUAACCCCAUCUGAAGCACUCAGGCUGGAAGUGAUGAGAGUAAUAGUUGCCCAGGUAAGGAAUUGGGAUGCUGGGGACCGACUGGAGAGACAGCUCAGCACUAAGAGCAUGAACUGCUCUUGCAGAGGACCUGAGUUCCGUUCCCAGCACAUGAAUGAAUCUAGCGGCUCACAACCACCUGUAACUCCAGAUCUAGGGGUAUCUGAUGCUUUUGGCCUUGAUGGGUA